AGAAGGGAGAUUAGAUUGGGAGACGAGUGAGCCGAGAUCCUGUUUAUAUUCAAGUUCACAAAUUUGACAAGACUAUUCAGGAAAAGCUGUGUUUAUGAUAUGAAGGAAAGGGAAGAGAAAGGAGAUGAGUAAGCUGAGAUUCUGUUUAUAUUCAAGUCCACAAAUUUGACGACACAAUACAGGAAAAGCUCUUUGUAUUUAGUGUGUCAUCGAAGACCGCGCCAUUUUGAACAGUAUGGGAUUCUAUAGCUUGGUUCGGGAGUGUUACAAAGACCAUGAUGGACUGUGGAAGCGGCCCUUAAUGUUCCCUUUUCUAAUAUGCCUCUCUGUUUUUGCAGGAUGCCGCGGACGGACCAUGCAGAGGACUCAUCGCGACGACACCGACGGUUUGGUUAAGUGGGUUCUUUUGUGUGUGCGUCUGUGUGUGAAUGGCAGGCCUGUCGUAUGAUUGUGUGUGUGUGCGUUGGCGUUAUGCCUUCGCACUAUUAUUUUGUUAGGAUGUAUUUUUUUGUGUGUGAACUUUUUGCACGUAAUCUUUUUUUAUACCCAUAGCUAGCGUUUGUUUGUGUGGCAGUGUUCCGGGAGAUGGACGCCGGGGGACAUGGGCUUGGGGAGGCGCACAUGACCUCCUCUGUCCGUGACCUCUUCAGCUGGGGAGACCGUGUGUUGCCCCGCCUGGAGAGACACGUUGAUGGAGGUGGCCGUGUGUGUCACCCUUUGCCUGUAUCCUCUGGCGCCCAGAGGCGCGUAAGUGGAGAGCAUCGGCGCAGCGCGGGAGCAGCACGUCAGGGUGUAGGGUGUUUUUUUAGCUGGUGUAGGGUGUUAGGGUGUUAGGGUGUUAGGUGUAACAACGGUUGGCUCUUUCACAGAACGGGUGUGAUUCCGUUCUGCGUUUGAGUCUUCCACCUUCAGACGGUCUCCCUCCGAGAUGUCUGAAGUUUUUUUGUCGGUUUUCUCCGUAGGAGGAA